GGUCCCGUAGCUCAGUGGAUAGAGCAACUGCCUUCUAAGCAGUAGGCCAUUGGUUCGAGUCCAAUCGGGAUCACCU
rnacentral:tRNA from 2 species